rnacentral:rRNA from 1 species
GUGUCAGCAGCCGCGGUAAUACGUAGGUGGUGAGGGUUUUUUGGCUUUCUUGGGCGUAAAGCGAACGCAGGCGGGAAGAUAAGUCAGCUGUGAAAGCCCCCAGCUUAACUGGGGAACUGCAGCUGAAACUAUGUUUCUUGAGUGCAGAAGAGGAGAGUGGAACUCCAUGUGUAGCGGUGGAAUGCGUAGAUAUAUGGAAGAACACCAGUGGCGAAGGCGGCUCUCUGGUCUGUAACUGACGCUGAGGUUCGAAAGCAUGGGUAGCGAACAGGAUUAGAUACCCUGGUAGUCCAUGCCGUAAACGAUGAGUGCUAAGUGUUGGGAGGUUUCCGCCUCUCAGUGCUGCAGCUAACGCAUUAAGCACUCCGCCUGGGGAGUACGACCGCAAGGUUAAAACUUAAAGAAAUUGACGG